rnacentral:rRNA from 1 species
GACGAACGCUGGCGGCGUGCCUAAUACAUGCAAGUCGAGCGGACUAAUGGGAGCUUGCUCCCGUUAGUUAGCGGCGGACGGGUGAGUAACGCGUGGGCAACCUACCUGUAAGACUGGGAUAACUUCGGGAAACCGGAGCUAAUACCGGAUGACAUAAAGGAACUCCUGUUCCUUUAUUGAAAGAUGGCUUCGGCUAUCACUUACAGAUGGGCCCGCGGCGCAUUAGCUAGUUGGUGAGGUAACGGCUCACCAAGGCGACGAUGCGUAGCCGACCUGAGAGGGUGAUCGGCCACACUGGGACUGAGACACGGCCCAGACUCCUACGGGAGGCAGCAGUAGGGAAUCUUCCGCAAUGGACGAAAGUCUGACGGAGCAACGCCGCGUGAGCGAUGAAGGCCUUCGGGUCGUAAAGCUCUGUUGUUAGGGAAGAAUAAGUGCUAGUUGAAUAAGCUGGCACCUUGACGGUACCUAACCAGAAAGCCACGGCUAACUACGUGCCAGCCGCCGCCGUAAGAC